GUGAGGAAUAUUGGUCAAUGGACGAGAGUCUGAACCAGCCAAGUAGCGUGAAGGAUGACUGCCCUAUGGGUUGUAAACUUCUUUUAUAUGGGAAUAAAGUAUUCCACGUGUGGGAUUUUGUAUGUACCAUAUGAAUAAGGAUCGGCUAACUCCGUGCCAGCAGCCGCGGUAAUACGGAGGAUCCGAGCGUUAUCCGGAUUUAUUGGGUUUAAAGGGAGCGUAGAUGGAUGUUUAAGUCAGUUGUGAAAGUUUGCGGCUCAACCGUAAAAUUGCAGUUGAUACUGGAUGUCUUGAGUGCAGUUGAGGCAGGCGGAAUUCGUGGUGUAGCGGUGAAAUGCUUAGAUAUCACGAAGAACUCCGAUUGCGAAGGCAGCUUACUGGAUUGUAACUGACGCUGAUGCUCGAAAGUGUGGGUAUCAAACAGGAUUAGAAACCCGAGUAGUCC
rnacentral:rRNA from 1 species